GAAGGAGAUAUAAGUGUUAUCACAAAUGCAAUUUAAGGACAUUGCUGUAGAAAUGGUUAGAUCAAUAUUCCACAAGCAGGUGAGCUUUCAAAAGGGGGGAAGGGUGGGGGGGGGAAUGACAGCAAUUGGGUCAAAUGUUUACUGUAACAGCAAGACAUAGGAAUUACCAACCCCCAUCCCCCUCCCCUCAACAUCUAGCAGUAGUUUCGUACGACCUAAUUUGCAUAAACAUGAGUAAUUUAUGAAUAAUAAAUGGUCCUUGCAUUCAGCGGGAAUCAUUAAUUUGCAUAUCACCAUGGCACUACAGUUUUAGUUCCUGUGUGCCGUGUUAUCGUGAAGCGCUCAAAACCUGCAUAAACCGGAAUCAAAGAAAACGUUAAAAACAGCCGGGUUCGGGAGCAGCGUGAGGCGCUGGGAAGAAAGCGAGAGAGAGACGGAGGAGAGGAAGCGCAGCCCCUGCAUCGACCACGACCACGACCGCGACCGCGAGCGUCACGCUGGGACCGGUGGAGAGCCUUCCGUUCGGGGCACGCGGUCGUCUGAGAGGGCCGGCCCCUAUCGAUCACCGACCCAGAGACCUGCUCUGCUCCUCUCUCUCUCAGCCAGGACCGGGGAGGCGGGGCUUCCUGCCGGCCACUCUCAGACCCUGCCAUUCCAAUCCCACAAUGCCCCAGGACGGGGAAACAUUCCAUCGGUUACCUAAUGACCUGUGAUCCACCGAGUCCAAUGGCCAGUGUUUGAACAGGUGUCAGGGACCAAGAGAAGGCAUGUUAGAAAUUGAAAAAAAAACCCCCCAUUGGCCUCUUUGCAGUAGACAAUCACACUUGCUUGCUCAAUCUUGUGGUCAGUAAUUAUUUAAAAGCGUUUAAAUGUUACUUUAUCUUCUUAUUUUUCCAUCUUCUUAUUUUAAAUAAUCUCGGGGUUUGCUAAUGAAACGUAUAGUUUACCAGAAAAUGCUUAAUUAACCUGUGCUUAAAAUUGAGUAUAGGGGGUCAGCAUACCACAGUUCCUUAUCGCUUCAUUAUCCUCUUCUACACUUGCUGGCUCGGAGACUUUACUAUUCUUGCAGUGACUAUAUUUAAUUUCAACCAGUUUUUUUUUUUUGCCCUCCUCUCUUUUUAAUUGCUUUUGUAAUAAACGUAAGCCACUGCUGCUUUUGCCACCCCAGACAAAUCCCUUUGUUUUUUAGCGAGCUGUGCAUUUAUGAUUACAGGAUCCUGCAGCUCACGCGGGCUGCUUAAUGAAAUGCACUGUCGCAAAUCGAGUUGCUUGUGAAGGGAAAUGGGGGGAAACAAGGGGUCUUCGGCACUAAUCGACUGUGUGCGAGCUGGAACGACGGAGGCCGUAUGCCGAACGUGUACAAAUAUGACAGGAUAUAACUAUAUCCAUAAAUAAGUAACUUCUGUGGUCGGCGGGCUUGCGGUAUCUGAACGGUGUAAGUGUAGAAAUGUGGGUCUCGUGCGCAACUGAGAUGCAAGUGUCAGAAUUUAAUUAAAAUCUGUGUGCGUCCAUCUGUCUGUCCAGGUUUGAGAAGCACAAGAAGGAUGUUAUCCACAGAGUUAGACCAAAGGUACAGUUAUUGAAGAGGACAGAACUACUGGUGAAUCAUAUUAUUAUCUAAACCCCACUCUUAUCACAGGCUUCCAUAUUUUGUUUUCAUUCUUAAUUCAAUGUUACACAAUAAACAAACAUGGCAACACCA